rnacentral:rRNA from 1 species
CGGCGAAGUUGCGGCCGGAGGCGUCGGUAAUACCAAUGGUGCAAAGGGUGCUCGGAAUUAUUGGGCGUAAAGCGCACGUAGGCGGCUUGCAAGUCGGAUGUGAAAUCCCUCGGCUGAACCAAGGAAGUGCAUCCGAAACUGCAGAGCUUGAGUACGAAAGAGGAUCGCGGAAUUCCCGGUGUAGAGGUGAAAUUCGUAGAUAUCGGGAGGAACACCAGUGGCGAAGGUGGCGAUCUGGGUCGAUACUGACGCUGAGGUGCGAAAGCGUGGGGAGCAAACAGGAUUAGAUACCCGGGUAGUC